rnacentral:tRNA from 1 species
GGUGGGGUGUCCGAGCGGUUGAAGGAGGCGGUCUUGAAAACCGUUGGCCUGCGGGCCCGUGGGUUCGAAUCCCACCCCCACCGCCA